rnacentral:tRNA from 1 species
AGGCACUUAGCUCAGUGGUAGAGCGCUACCUUGACACGGUAGAGGUCAGCAGUUCAACUCUGCUAGUGCCUACCA